UGCUUCCUCAGAGGUUGCUGGAGUAGUUGUGAAGAUCUACCAUGAACCAGAUGCAGGGCAAGUUUCAGUCUUACUAAGGGUCUGCUAUUUCUACAAGACUGCAUUUGAAGGAUGGAAGGUACUUGGAAUAUCUUGCAUACUUCAUGGAAGUAAUAUCUGCAAAGUCUUCUACUUCUUGAGAAUAGGGAUUCAUGACUUGAAGAAGAUCCCAGCUCUCAUCCAGCAUGGGCUUUAGAAUUGUUGGGUGAAAUGAGACUUAUUUUUUAGAAGAAAAUGCAGUAGAAGUGAAAAUGGUGUACAUCAAAGCAACAGAAGAAAAGGAGCGCCAUUUAGGUCAUAGUGCAAACAGAGGGACUUCAUAAUCUGUUUGGAUGAAUGCUUUAAAAGACACUCAAGUUGAGCUGAGCAUGGUGGGGCAGACCUGUAUCUCUCUGGUCAAGGCUUCAAAGAA